CCCUCAGCUCUCUCUUCCACACCCUUUGUCCAACCACCAUCAGUCUUGGAAAAUCCCAUGCGGUGCAGAGUAUGGCGGUUGAUAGUGUCGGAGUGAGAAAGCCUAGCUACUGCCUCCCCCUCAAAGCUAACUCCAAACCUCCUGAAUACUAAAGUGAGAGCCAUGCCGAAAGGCAAAUGUGCCUUGGACUUUUUUAAGGUCUCUCUCAUAGCUUCAAUCAUCAAUGCCGGGAGGUUUAGGGGAGUUUGAGUAAU
rnacentral:lncRNA from 1 species